CAGACGCUCGCCACCCGUUGCGCAAAGCACACGCAGACGCUCGCCACCCGUCGUGCAAAGCGCACGCAGAUGCUCGCCACCCGUCACGCAAAGCGCACGCAGACACUCACCACCAGCGCUGCUCACAGAGGCCAGGACACACGCAGACGCUCACCACCAGCGCCGCUCACAGAGGCCAGAAGCACAGACAUCCUUCCGCUGCUGAUGGACAGACUCAGUGCGCUGUCCGCACACAAGCUGAUACUGUUCAGCCAUGAGACUAAUAAAGUGCUGUAUCCAACGCGGGUGAGCCCUGAAAGCUCGGAUAACGACUAGACAAAGAACUGAAAAUAUAAAAUGAGCCUAAAUGUGCCUGGGACCAUUUUGAAACUACUAUAUUAGACCAGCCCAUCACCCACUCCAAUAUUCUUGCCUGGGAAAUCCCACAGCACAGGGUCGCAGAAGAGUCGGACACGACUUUGUGACUAAACAGCAGCAACAAAUCCAGCGCACACAUAAUGGGGGUCACACCCGCAACCUUCGAUGGUCUAGUAGCCAGGUUGAAAAAAGUAAAGCAAACAAGCGAAGUGAACUUGAAUAAUGUGUGUGCUGAAGUGUCGGUGUCCCUGAAUCAGAAGGCGCAGCCACGAACCUUACAGAUCCAUGUUUCUGCGCAUUGACUGAACAACCUUGAAUCAAUCCUAUCCUUCCAUUUCCCAGCAUCCCGAGAACACGCACCAGUGUGCACACACACGUACACACACAUGCACACACAUGCACACCCGGCCCCACGGCAGAUUUGUCUCUGUGAAGAUAUGCCCUAGGGACACACACAGGAAGGGGUGAUCACAAGAUUUUCUAAUAAAUCCUGUGUUUUAAAAGCAUCAAUAAAAAUGAAUGUUUUAAACCCA